GAUGAACGCUGGCGGCGUGCCUAAUACAUGCAAGUCGAGCGAACGGACGAGAAGCUUGCUUCUCUGAUGUUAGCGGCGGACGGGUGAGUAACACGUGGAUAACCUACCUAUAAGACUGGGAUAACUUCGGGAAACCGGAGCUAAUACCGGAUAAUAUUUUGAACCGCAUGGUUCAAAAGUAAAAGACGUUCUUGCUGUCACUUAUCGAUGGAUCCGCGCUGCAUUAGCUAGUUGGUAAGGUACCGGCUUACCAAGGCAACGAUGCAUAGCCGACCUGAGAGGGUGAUCGGCCACACUGGAACUGAGACACGGUCCAGACUCCUACGGGAGGCAGCAGUAGGGAAUCUUCCGCAAUGGGCGAAAGCCUGACGGAGCAACGCCGCGUGAGUGAUGAAGGUCUUCGGAUCGUAAAACUCUGUUAUUAGGGAAGAACAGAUGUGUAAGUAACUGUGCACAUCGUGACGGUACCUAAUCAGAAAGCCACGGCUAACUACGUG
rnacentral:rRNA from 1 species